GAAUGCGCUGACUGUAAGUCGCUCUGGAUAAGAGCGUCUGCUAAAUGACUACAA
rfam:Salmo salar isolate Sally breed double haploid chromosome ssa04, whole genome shotgun sequence.